CAGCAGCCACGGGAAUACGUAGGUGGCAAGCGUUGUCCGGAAUUAUUGGGCGUAAAGGGCUCGCAGGCGGUUUCUUAAGUCUGAUGUGAAAGCCCCCGGCUCAACCGGGGAGGGUCAUUGGAAACUGGGAAACUUGAGUGCAGAAGAGGAGAGUGGAAUUCCACGUGUAGCGGUGAAAUGCGUAGAGAUGUGGAGGAACACCAGUGGCGAAGGCGACUCUCUGGUCUGUAACUGACGCUGAGGAGCGGAAGCGUGGGGAGCGAACAGGAUUAGAUACCCCCGUAGUCCCUGUCUCUUAUAC
rnacentral:rRNA from 1 species